rnacentral:snRNA from 1 species
AUACGUACCUGGCAGGGGAGGUACCAUGAUCACGAAGGUGGUUUUCCCAGGGCGAGGCUUAUCCAUUUUUGCAUUCCGGAUGUGCUGACCCCUGCGAUUUCCCCAAAUGUGGGAAACUCAACUGCAUAAUUUGUGGUAGUGGGGGGAAACAAAAAAAGAUAGUCAAGAGUCCCUG